rnacentral:rRNA from 1 species
UACGUAGGGUGCGAGCGUUAUCCGGAAUUAUUGGGCGUAAAGAGCGCGCAGGUGGUUGAUUAAGUCUGAUGUGAAAGCCCACGGCUUAACCGUGGAGGGUCAUUGGAAACUGGUCGACUUGAGUGCAGAAGAGGGAAGUGGAAUUCCAUGUGUAGCGGUGAAAUGCGUAGAGAUAUGGAGGAACACCAGUGGCGAAGGCGGCUUCCUGGUCUGUAACUGACACUGAGGCGCGAAAGCGUGGGGAGCAAACAGGAUUAGAUACCA